CAUGAAGCUGGAUUCGCUAGUAAUCGCGCAUCAGCAUGCCGCGGUGAAUACGUUCUCGGGCCUUGUACACACCGCCCGUCACACCAUGGGAGUCGGUAACACCCGAAGUCUGUAGCCUGACGCAAGAGGGCGCAGCCGAAGGUGGGAUUGAUGACUGGGGUGAAGUCGUAACAAGGUACC
rnacentral:rRNA from 1 species